rnacentral:tRNA from 1 species
GAGUUCCUGUAGUUGAAU